GGGGGUAGGCGGUAGUGGCGGAAGAGGUUCGGCGGCUGAUGGCGGAUCAGGAUCGGAAGCCUGUGUAACUUUCUCCCUUGAUCCGGGAGUCUUUCCACUGGAUUCACAAUGACAUCCUUUCAAGAAGUCCCAUUACAGACUUCCAACUUUGCCCAUGUCAUCUUUCAAAAUGUGGCCAAGAGUUACCUUCCUAAUGCACACCUGGAAUGUCAUUACACCUUAACUCCAUAUAUUCAUCCACAUCCAAAAGAUUGGGUUGGUAUAUUCAAGGUUGGAUGGAGUACUGCUCGUGAUUAUUACACGUUUUUAUGGUCCCCUAUGCCUGAACAUUAUGUGGAAGGAUCAACAGUCAAUUGUGUACUAGCAUUCCAAGGUAAGGACUGAAAACUGCAGAACUCAAUGAAACUAGAUGUCUUAUUGCCAUUAAAGAUGUUGUACUCCAUUGUAAUGAUUUGUUCAGGUAUCUCCAGGGUACCAAAGUUGAAUUAAUUAGUGUCUUUGCUUAGCAAAAGCCCUAAGAAUGUAACUGUCUAGUGUAGGCCACAUGAUAUUUUAUGUAGACAUUUAAAAGUUAUUGGUUGUUGUCUUAAC
rnacentral:sRNA from 1 species